rnacentral:lncRNA from 1 species
AACUAUCCACAGUCAUUAUAUACGGUCAGCGUUGUGCACAAAGACACGGCCACUCAGCGAUACUUUUCCCAAACUGAAAUCCCCUUCAGGGGAGGGCGAGAGGGAGGGAGAGAGAGAGAGAGACGGGGAGCGAGAGGGGACUGCAGAACACACAGGGUCUGGAUGAAUAACCAUGGCAACAGCAGCAGCAGCAGGAGAAGCGAUGAUAUAAACAUUUACAUCCGCGCAUCCGUCCGCAAACAGCUAUUCACUCCAGUAGAGGCUUGGACCACAAACCCUCUGCGGAUAUCACUCCACAUCAGCGCUAAGACACUGUGAACGUGUUGCUUCUUCAUCCGUUCUCAAAUUGACACUGGAGAUGUCAAUCAGUGGUCCCAGCUGAGCUGACGCCAACAGGAGCUGCAGGAAAGGAAAGAGGGCAGCUUAAGGGCAGCCAGGAGUUUUUAGGUUUUCCUUAAGGUGGUAGAAUUAGCCAAGUUGCAAACUCUAGACCUCCAAGAAUGCCAGUGUGUGUGUGGUGUGUUUGUGGCCUGCAUUAAAUAAUAAUAAGACAGCAAAUGGGUGUUUUGUAACGAUUAGUGUUUAAUGAUUUUCUUCUAGUAAGAAAGAGAUAAUUCACAAAAUUGCACAAGCAGAACAUUCCAAGUAUAGUUUGGCUACAGGUUAUGUAGAGAUGUCUGGGAGCUGUGCUUGAAAACAGUUAAUUCAACAGUAUAUUAAGGACAUUGUAUGAAUGCAGGAAUGUGUUUUUACUUGUUAUGUUAGUUGACAUUGACCUGUUAAUCAUUCAGACAUAAAAGAAGCCUCCUAACUUAAAGGGUAAGCCAGGGUUGUGUCUACACAUAACACACCGCUUAGCAAAGAACCAAAUGUAAUGUACCUUUAGGCACUUUCUCACUAGCAGCAUCUUGCAAAAACCCAACAUCUGUUCAAUUUCUUUUGUCGAAUCUACAAAACAAACAGACAAAAAAAAAAACAGUUUAGUAUUUGUGCACCAGCACACCGUUUCCCAAACACGUAUUAUCUAAAACAGCGGGCUUAUAUCGGCAUCGUGUGCA